rnacentral:rRNA from 1 species
GAAGAGUUUUGAAGGAACAUCUAUAGCUAAAGCAAUAAUCUAGUUUAUUUAAUACUGACGCUGAGGAACGAAAGAAUAGGUAGCAAACAGGAUUAGAUACCCUGGUAGUCUAUUCCGUAAACUAUGAAUGCUCGUGUUUAGAAUUAAUAUUUUAGACACCAAGUUAACACGUUAAGCAUUCCGCCUGAGGAGUAUAGUCGCAAGGCUGGAACUCAAAGGAAUUGACGGGGGCCAAUACAAACGGUGGAGCAUGUGGUUUAAUGCGAUAAUACGCGCGAAAUCUUACCAGCUUUUGAAUUUUAGAUAAUAUUAUUUUAACAGAAGUCGAUAAUUUAUUCAAAUAUUGUUUUGAGUAAAAGUUUAAAACAGGUGUUGCAUGGCUGUCGUCAGCUCGUGUUGUGAAAUGUUUGGUUAAGUCCUUUAACGAGCGCAACCCUCCUUUUUAGUUGCUAAUAAGAUACUCUAGAAAUAGAUUUACGAUGAGUAAAUGGAAGAAGGAUGACGUCAAGUCCUCAUGGCCCUUAUAGGCUGGGCUACACACGUGCUACAAUGGUAAUUACAGAAGGAAGCAAAUAUGAAAAUUGGAGCAAAUCCCCAAAAAUUAUCGUAGUUCGGAUUAUAGACUGCAAUUCGUCUAUAUGAAGUUGGAAUCGUAAGUAAUUGCGAAUCAGAAUGUCGCGGUGAAUAUGUACCUUGGCCUUGCACACACCGCCCGUCACAUGCCGGGAGUUAGUUUUACUUUAAAAAUAUAAAAUAAUUAAAAGAUUUUUAAUUUUUUGAGGUUUUAGUUUCACGGCGAAAUUAGCAACUGGGAUGAAGUCGUAACAAGGUAGCCGUA